rnacentral:rRNA from 1 species
GGGAAUCUUCCACAAUGGGCGCAAGCCUGAUGGAGCAACACCGCGUGAGUGAAGAAGGGUUUCGGCUCGUAAAGCUCUGUUGUUGGAGAAGAACGUUAAGUAGAGUGGAAAGUUACUUAAGUUACGGUAUCUAACCAGAAAGGGACGGCUAACUACGUGCCAGCAGCCGCGGUAAUACGUAGGUCCCGAGCGUUGUCCGGAUUUAUUGGGCGUAAAGCGAGCGCAGGUGGUUCCUUAAGUCUGAUGUAAAAGGCAGUGGCUCAACCAUUGUGUGCAUUGGAAACUGGGGAACUUGAGUGCAGGAGAGGGGAGUGGAAUUCCAUGUGUAGCGGUGAAAUGCGUAGAUAUAUGGAGGAACACCGGAGGCGAAAGCGGCUCUCUGGCCUGUAACUGACACUGAGGCUCGAAAGCGUGGGGAGCAAACAGG